rnacentral:rRNA from 1 species
UGGCGGACGGGUGAGUAACGCGUGAGAAUCUACCCUCAGGUCGGGGAUAACCCCUGGAAACGGGAGCUAAUACCGGAUGUGCCGAAAGGUGAAAGGUUAACUGCCUGGGGAGGGGCUCGCGUCUGAUUAGCUAGUAGGUGUGGUAAGAGCUUACCUAGGCGACGAUCAGUAGCUGGUCUGAGAGGAUGAGCAGCCACACUGGGACUGAGACACGGCCCAGACUCCUACGGGAGGCAGCAGUGGGGAAUUUUCCGCAAUGGGCGAAAGCCUGACGGAGCAAGACCGCGUGGGGGAGGAAGGCCUUUGGGUUGUAAACCCCUUUUGUUAGGGAAGAAGACAGUGACGGUACCUAACGAAUCAGCCUCGGCUAACUCCGUGCCAGCAGCCGCGGUAAUACGGAGGAGGCAAGCGUUAUCCGGAAUUAUUGGGCGUAAAGCGUCCGUAGGUGGCCCGGCAAGUCGGUUGUCAAAGACCUCAGCUCAACUGAGGAAAG